UACGAAGGGGGCUAGCGUUGUUCGGAAUUACUGGGCGUAAAGCGCAUGUAGGCGGCGAUUCAAGUCGGGGGUGAAAUCCUGGAGCUCAACUCCAGAACUGCCUUCGAUACUGCAUUGCUGGAGUAUGGAAGAGGUAGGUGGAACUGCGAGUGUAGAGGUGAAAUUCGUAGAUAUUCGCAAGAACACCAGUGGCGAAGGCGGCCUACUGGUCCAUCACUGACGCUGAGAUGCGAAAGCGUGGGGAGCAAACAGGAUUAGAUACCCUGGUAGUCCACGCCAUAAACGAUGAGAGCUAGCUGUUGGAGGGUUUACUCUUCAGUAGCGCAGAUAACUCGAUAAGCUCUCCGCCUGGGGAGUACGGUCGCAAGAUUAAA
rnacentral:rRNA from 1 species